rnacentral:lncRNA from 1 species
UCAGAAUUGGACUUUGAGAUGAAAACCGAAAAAAAUGAUCUAAUUCACACACUUGCCCAAUUUCAUCCUCUCAGCAACUCUGUGGUUAAGACAUUAUUGUCUCUAUUUUACAAAUGAGGAAAUUAGGACUCAGAGAGAGAAAAUUUCUGUUGCACAGCCCCAGAGGGAGCCAUUGGUAUUGUUGCUAUGAGGAUGGUGCAGCCUGGCAGUGUGAGAGAUUUCACUGGCAUGGCUGCAGGGAAUGGGCCUACAUCAAAACCCCACAGCCAGUAGGCAGGGUAGUUAUAAGGAGUGUAGAGUCCUCAUACACAUCCAGGGUCUCUUUUUUUCCUCCUGUGCUAGAAAGAGUCUGUAUAUGAAUUGUUGAAAUCGCACAUACACAUCUGUUCCUCCAGGGGCCAUAUUUGAAGUCCCGUCUGAAGAAGCCCCAUUUCUUUUACAUUGCCGCAUCCCUUUGAGAUNNNNNNNNNNNNNNNNNNNNNNNNNNNNNNNNNNNNNNNNNNNNNNNNNNNNNNNNNNNNNNNNNNNNNNNNNNNNNNNNNNNNNNNNNNNNNNNNNNNAUAUUUGAAGUCCCGUCUGAAGAAGCCCCAUUUCUUUUACAUUGCCCCAUCCGUUUGAGAUGCUUGGAUCAAAUGGGCCAAUGUCAGCAUCAAUAAAACUUCCCAAUAGUUACAGAAUUAUCAGCUUCCCAACUCUAAGAUCUGUGAUUAUCUGGAACCAGAAGAUUACCUGGCCCCUUCUAAAUGGGUUCAGGGUCAAGGAGACCCAGUAGAUACCCCUGGAUCUUCAGGGCCAGCUACUGAUUUCUCAGCUUGCUCGGGAGUUGACAAAAUUCAGUCCUUGGUACUUGUUAUAGCUAAUUUCACACUUUGCUGACACUCGCUAUUAGGCUAGAAAAAAUACAGUCCUGCUAGCAAAUCCUCAUUUAGGGAGAAAGAGAAAACACAUUGGUUCUGGCAUCACUUAGAGAAAGAAGCAAUUACCAAGUGGAGAUUGCUGAGUGUAACUCAUGACUUAGGGAUCCAGAGAGGAGUGGAGUAGAGCAGUUGAGAAAUUCCUUCAGUCUCAAAGCAUGGUGUGACUUUUACUUUGACCACAUCCAGGUACCACUGCACAGGGUCCUUUAUACAUCAUUAUAAGUGGGUGACAUCAGAAAGAACAUUAUCCAAAUCCCAUGAUGAAUCCAUUGGCAAUUUACUAUAUAGCUCUUCUUAGAAUUUGGGAAACUUAUCCACAGGUCCUAGCUGACAGUUGGUACUAUUAGUAAUUUACAAGUAACUCCAGCAGCUUUAGGUAUGCUGGGUGCAAAGCCCUGGGACCAGAGCAUCAGACAGCUCUAUAAUAGUCUCGUACUGACCCUGUCACGCGAUGAGAUACUUAAAAGCAGGAAGCAGCUAAGGUGAUGGAAGCCGAAUGUGAUGAAUGGCCUAAGUUUAGGGCUCUAUUCUGGGCUCUAGAGAAACAUGGACAUAUAAAAGCACACUCACUACUCUCUGGGGUCUGCUAAUCUGGUUAGGGAGACAGGUUGCAUAUAGAGAAAGAUCAGUCACUGCGGAAGGCAGGAAAAAGUGCCGAUUGAGAGGCAGAGCCAUGAAGUCCCUCGGGAACUGAAAAGGCCCUUCUAGAGCAUCUCGUUAGACUGUUACUUUCAGAGAGGGGAAAUCGUGGAUGGGAGAGGGGUGUGACAGAAUGAAUGGCCAGGGAGGGCCAGAACAGACUCAACUAAAAUAGCAAGCUUCUGUUCACUCCUGUUUCCAGGACACGAUACCAGACACGUCCAGAUGCAUCCUAUCAGUUUAUCUAAGUGUUGUCAACCUCACUCUAUACAGGCAGAGCGUAUGGCUGAGAAUCUAAGGGGUUCACCAAAUUUCACUGCUGGUAAACAGAACUGGAGCUUGAACUCAGAGUCUCUUUGACUCCAAAGCCCGUGUUUUUGCCAUCAUGGCUUGUUGAUGGUGCCUGAGAUCAAAGAGAGCCUCAGAGAAGAGGUGAUACAUGUGCUGUCCUUUUAAGAAGAAAAGAAUAGCAGGCGUGUGGCAGUUGAGGGAAAGGAAAUGGGAGUGGCAUUCAAGGGGGAGGCUGUCGGGGCAGUGGGCAAGUGCUAGUGACUUGUAGGGAAGCUGUCUUUAGGCUGAAGAUGGCAGGAUCUUAGAUGGAGUUGAGAUGCUUUUUAUGAAAUGGCCUCCAACCUACAUCAUCACACAGGACAGGAGCCAAACAGUCAAAACCAUACCGAGUAGGGGCAGGGUGGGGAGAGAGCCUUCUGUAAGCCCAUCCCUUAUUCCUGGGAUCUCUGUUAACCUAUCAGUAAAAUUUCAUGGUAACCUACCUACCGUAAUCUUCCUGCAUUAAAAUGGAGGGCAGUGGUGGACUUUCGGGGUGCUCUGAAGAUGGAUAACAUGGUGGGGCUAAGAUAAGGCAUUUUAUCUAGGUUCUCAUACGUGGCUAUAUUUUAGUAUCAUAUGAGAGUAUUUAGAAAAUCCUGAUGUCCUCGACCCACCCAGGGAUUCAGGACUGGGAGGUGGCCUUGGCAUCAGGUGACUUUAAUGAGCAGCUAAGGUUUAAAUCCAUUGCUGUCACUUGCCGCCCUCCUCUUGCAAGUUAAUUGGGCAUCUUUCUACCUGAGUCAUACACAGAGCUCAGCCCUGCUGAGACCUGUCGGUCCCCAUGCCUGCUGCCUCUGGUCACUCAUGUUUUCCUCCAAAUUCAGCUAUGUGGUCAUUAUACCCUAAAAGCUAAGCGUUGGGGAUAUUCUCAGUGAAUAUGUGGGUAAAUAUUUAACAACCAGCUUUCUGGGAGGACGCAAAGGUCUAAUUUGUGGUGGUUUUUGAUUUCCCUGUUAUGAAUACUCCCACCGUGACCCGUUUCAUGGUCACUGAAUGUGGAGUUAGGAAUAAUGCAUUGUAAUUGGCUCUUUUGAGCCAGUGUGACCCGGCUCUAGCACACCCUUGGGUUGAGGGAUAAGUGGAAUUCAUCCCAUCUCCUUAAGGUAGGCAGAGCCUAGUUGGGANNNNNNNNNNNNNNNNNNNNNNNNNNNNNNNNNNNNNNNNNNNNNNNNNNNNNNNNNNNNNNNNNNNNNNNNNNNNNNNNNNNNNNNNNNNNNNNNNNNAAGGUAGGCAGAGCCUAGUUGGGAAAAGACAUCGGUGUACACUGUUAACCGAAAUCUCAAAUAUGGAGUGCUGGACGGACGGAGGUAAAUUCCUCCGGGCAGGGUCAAGGGAGUUGAGCUUCAGUGAAUGAAUAGGUGACCAGACAGACCUUAGUAAUCAAUUUCCUCAGUUUGUCCCUGCUUUUGUUUUUCCUGAAUGGCCUCUGAAUCCCCAUGAUGUCAUUGACAGUCAAUCAGAGCAUCCAACCGGGCUGAGCUAACUGGGUUUUCACAGUGAAAAGAUGUAAUUCUGCCAAGUCAGUUAGUCAGUGAGGCAUUAGAUCAGUAAUAUACACAAUUCUGUUAGGUUUUCUACAGUGCUGUGGAUAGCUUGUGGGCCUCUAGUUCAGAUCCAUUGACCCGGUCCAUCCAAUCAUAGGAGACCAUGAGAAACAGGCCCAGAGCCCCAGGGUGACCUGUGCUGGGGGCUUGGGGCUGGAAGGAGAAGUCGAUAGCCUUCCUCCAAGAGCUCGCUUCUGAGGACUAUGCCACAGGGCUGGUCUUAAAGAUCAGACACCUCCCAGACAACAUUUUAUUAAUAUACUAAAAGGAGGAACAUCAGUUCAUUUGCUUCGAACAAAAGGUUCUGUGCAGAAAAGAAAUCCAAUCUUGUAUCUAAAUUGCUCCUAAUAAGCCCACAAUUGCAGCCCCAGCGUUGCUUCUCUCAGGCUGUAAUUGUGUGAAAAAUGGAUGCAUUCUCAUCACCAAGAGGAAAGACCAAAUCUGCCCCUACUGGGUGGUGGUUAUCUCAUUAAGUUAUUAAUGAAAUUAGCAGCGCUUCCUGCCUCAGUUGACAGAGAGUAUCAGGUGAGGCUCUUUCAUUAAACAUUGGAGAAGCCAGCAGUCCAUUGCCUUAGAGAAUUUUUCCCUGCUGGGUCACUGUUCCCUGGAAGUCAGACUUCAUGCGCUUGCACUGGGCACCCUACUUGUGGGAUAUUGACAAGAGAUAUCCCACUUGCGGAAUAUUGCAACUCCUUACUCUGCUCAGAGGAGGUAGUGACUGGCUUAGGGUCACUUUAGAAUGUAUGUAUGUGUACCGUGAUGUGUGUGUGUUGGACCACAAAGAAGGCUAAGCACCGAAGAACUGAAGCUUUCGAACUGCAGUGUUAGAGAAGACUCUUGCAUCCCCUGGACAGCAAAGAGAUCAAACCAGUCAAUC